GAACGCUGGCGGCAUGCCUAAUACAUGCAAGUCGAACGCUUUGAUUUCACCGGGUGCUUGCACCCACCGAGACAAAAGAGUGGCGGACGGGUGAGUAACACGUGGGUAACCUGCCCAUAAGAGGGGGAUAACAUCCGGAAACGGAUGCUAAUACCGCAUAGUUUCCAAUUGUCUCCUGACAGAUGGAAAAAAGGUGGCUUCGGCUACCGCUUAUGGAUGGACCCGCGGCGUAUUAGCUAGUUGGUGAGGUAAUGGCUCACCAAGGCGAUGAUACGUAGCCGACCUGAGAGGGUGAUCGGCCACACUGGGACUGAGACACGGCCCAGACUCCUACGGGAGGCAGCAGUAGGGAAUCUUCCGCAAUGGACGAAAGUCUGACGGAGCAAUGCCGCGUGAGUGAAGAAGGUUUUCGGAUCGUAAAACUCUGUUGUUAGAGAAGAACAAGGAUGAGAGUAACUGCUCAUUCCCUGAC
rnacentral:rRNA from 1 species